rnacentral:rRNA from 1 species
GAUGAACGCUGGCGGCGUGCCUAAUACAUGCAAGUCGAGCGAACAGAUAAGGAGCUUGCUCCUUUGACGUUAGCGGCGGACGGGUCAGUAACACGUGGGUAACCUACCUAUAAGACUGGAAUAACUCCGGGAAACCGGGGCUAAUGCCGGAUAACAUUUAGAACCGCAUGGUUCUAAAGUGAAAGAUGGUUUUGCUAUCACUUAUAGAUGGACCCGCGCCGUAUUAGCUAGUUGGUAAGGUAACGGCUUACCAAGGCAACGAUACGUAGCCGACCUGAGAGGGUGAUCGGCCACACUGGAACUGAGACACGGUCCAGACUCCUACGGGAGGCAGCAGUAGGGAAUCUUCCGCAAAGGGCGAAAGCCUGACGGAGCAACGCCGCGUGAGUGAUGAAGGUCUUCGGAUCGUAAAACUCUGUUAUUAGGGAAGAACAAAUGUGUAAGUAACUGUGCACGUCUUGACGGUACCUAAUCAGAAAGCCACGGCUAACUACGUG